rnacentral:rRNA from 1 species
UACGGAGGGUGCAAGCGUUGUUCGGAAUUACUGGGCGUAAGGCGUACGUAGGUGGGUUCGUGUGUCAGAUGUGAAAUCCCCCGGCUUAACUGGGGAGGGUCAUUUGAAACUGCGAAUCUUGAGUUUCGGAGAGGUGGGUGGAAUUCCCAGUGUAGAGGUGAAAUUCGUAGAGAUUGGGAGGAACAUCGGAGGCGAAAGCGACUCACUAACCGAACACUGACACUUAAGUACGAAAGCGUGGGGAGCAAACAGG